GGCAGGGGCAGCAAGAUGGUGCCACAGACUCUGUUCCUCAUGUCCCUGUUGCUCUGGGCCUCUGACUCCAGUGGGGACACUGUGAUGACUCAGUCUCCAGCCUCUCUGGCUGUGUCUCCAGGAGAAACGGCCACCAUCAACUGCAAGUCCAGCCAGAGUGUGAGCAGCUAUUAUUUAUACUGGUAUCAGCAGAAACCAGGACAGGCUCCUAAGCUGCUCAUCUACGCUGCAUCUAACCGGGCAUCUGGGGUCCCUGACCAGUUCAGUGGCAGUGGGUCUGGGACAGACUUCACUCUCACCAACAGCAGCCUCCAGGCUGAAGAUGCCACAGUUUAUUACUGUCAGCAUAGUUACAGCACUCCACCCAAAGUGCUUCAGCCUGGAACACAAACCUCCUCCCCAGGGCUACAGGCCAGAGAGUGA